GCAGGGAAGACACAGCGCCGCCGGCCGUGGGGAACGGACGCACUGAUUUGCUCCCCUACCCUCAGCAGCCCCCCCACCCAGCACCAGGAGCCUGUCCCUCCCACAUCCUCAACUGGCUGAGCCGCAGUAGUUCUUCAGUGGCAAGCUUUAUGUCCUGACCCAGCUAAAGCUGCCAGUUGAAGAACUGUUGCCCUCUGCCCCUGGCUUCGAGGAGGAGGAGGAAGAGGAGAAGGAGCUGCUUUCCCCCUCAUCUGGAAGGUGACAGAACUGGGGCUGGGAAGGUCGAAACAGCGGGAGUGAUGAUGAUACCUUUCGGGAAGGGGAACCCUGUUCAGUUGGAGACCCUUCCGCCAGAUUGGCCCAGCAAGACAGAACAGUUUUAGAUAGAGGCCCUAGUUGGAUUGGGGGCAAGAUGGCUGUGACUACCCCAGGUUAGUUGGUCUGCAUCGGUGUGACAAGGGGAAGACAAUGGGAGCAAAGAAAACUGCCUACGCCUUUACUCAGAUGUCUUUCUUGACCCUCCUUCCUGUCUCCCUUUCUUUCCUACUGCCUCUCCAGGUGAGGUCCAAAGUAAAUUUCAUCUUCAGGGAAAGGGUCAUACCGAAACUCCCAUCUGAGUAGUCAUGUCCAUGUUCUUAGCUUUCCCUGUAUUUCCUCAGACUGGCCUAGACUCUGCAUACGGGGAUAAUCACCUAUAUGCGGGACCCUUGGACCCCUUGUCUCAGCUUCUCCGCCUGUGAGAUGCAGAAUCACACAGUUGAGUGUGCAGGGGCGAAUCAGAAGCCUACUGUGCUGACUCCGAGCCUGGGCUGUCCUCUCCCUGUGGGUGGGAACAAAACAGCUUUUCACAGAAGCUGUUGCCCCUCCCCCAUCCCUCACCAACACAGCCCCAGGAGCUGGGGGUGGGGGGAGGAUUAGACGGAGGGGGCUAGGGUUAGACCAAUGCUGGGGGCAGGAGGAGCUCAGUCUCUGCCUUGACUUCCCCCCAUGCCAAGGUGGCCCCAGGCUUCCUCUGCCAGCCGAGCCAGGACUGCAGCCCCUGAUGGGGUUCCAACUGCUGGUCCUCUGUUUCUUCCCCCACGUUACCUUCCAGGAUAAUUUGUGCGACUCAGCUUAGGCUUGUGCAGGCAGGAAAUGCUCUUCUCCAGCAACCGGGAGAGAUGGGGCGUGGGAUGUGACCCCCUUUGGGGCAUCAAGCUGUGCAAACCUACCACCCCUGGCUCCUGAUGCAGUGGAACUCUUGGGGCCCAGGCUCUGGUGUGGUUCAACCGCGGCCCAGUAGUUGUGCCUGAAGGUGGCCAGAUUCAGGGGCUGCAGAAAGCUGUCCUGUUGUGGGGCACAAGAUGUACAGGUAGCUGGGUCCUAUUCUCCAUUUAUGGGAGAGGUUUAGGGGAGAGUAGAUCAUUGACCCCACCCUCUGCAGCCUAGGCUGGAUGUGUGUGGGACUGCGGUGGAGGGGGUGGGUAGACUGAGUCCACUCAUAGGCUGCAACAAAGAUUGCUCUGUCCCUGGACAUUGCUUCCGUCCUUUCUUCCCCUCUCCGUUUCACUGGCCACAGCGUCUCCCUCCAGCCCUGGGUAUGUGGCUCUGCCGUCCUCACCCAUCAUGGAGCAGAGAUGAGGAGAGCAGCCUGGGAACACGGAGGCAGGCAGAGGACCAGUGAAGGAUGAGGCCCGGAGAGCACAGGGCCCUGUCUGGGCACCCCGCAGAGGGGGCCCAUAAAGGCCAGGAGCAACCCCGGAGGAGGGAGGACAGCCAGCCUCCAUCAAGGACAAGCUCCCAGCCAUCAGCUUCAUUCACUAUUUCUCUCCAGUGUUACUACCUCCCUCUGAGAUCUGAGACUGUGUUAAAAUGUCCUGUUGCUUCAUCCUCCUGCGUGUACCUCCCUACCCUAUAGUGUUUAUAUACAGCAGCUUCAAGGAGCAGGAACCAGCUGUGAAAGGACAUGCACAGGAAAUUCAUAGAAGAAAUCCAAAUGGAUAAAACCAUGGAAAACAAUGUGUGUUUCGUUAGUAAUUAAAGACAAACAUAGCUGAAAGCCUUUUUCCCUUUGCAAACUAUAUUUUAAAAAUUUUUAAAAAAGACCCAGUAUUGGCAAAGGAGUACUAAAAUAACUCUCCCGUACCUUGCAUAUGGGGGUGCAAAUUGGUACGGCCUUCCUGGAUGUCAGUUUGGUAGUAGGUGUCAAACACUCAAAGUUUCCGUCGCCUUUGACCUAGUAAUUCUACAUUUGGGAAUGUAUCCUAAGAAAAUAAUUAAAGACUUAGUUACAGGAUGCUCACCCCAGCAUUGCAGUAGAAAAAAAUGAGAAGCAACUGGCUGAUUGGGAAUUCAUUUCUUUUUUGCUGUAAUGGAAAUUUGCAAUGGGGGAUUGCUUAAGUAAAUCAUUGUAUAUCCAUCCAGAUGGUGGAGUACUGCACAGCCAUUAGAAGUCAUGUAGAAGAACAUUUGACUGGAAAGAAAAAUGCUCUUUGAAUAUUAAAAAGGUUAUAAAAAUAGUGUGUAUAAUGUGAUCUCAACUUUUUUUUUUUUAAUAUGU